UCACUUAUCAUCGAAUAGCAGAAAGGUUAUCACCAAAGCAGCGGUGCUUACUCUGCCAACACUGGAAAUAACGGUGAUAACGGCGGACCUCUAACCCGAGCAUAGAAAAUGGCCAUAACGCAGAUUGCCCUCCAGGGAGGAGGCACUACUGCACAGACUCCAGAGAUGCCCGUCUUCCCGGAUGGACCUCACCGGGAUAGCAUCGACCUUGAUCGGGAGCAGGUGUUAAUGACCAACCAUUGAACAGGCGACUCUGCCCUGGGGUUUUGGCAAAUUCGAGCUUAUCAGGCACAGACAGAUCACUCUGCUCUUAUCGGUCCCGCGGGCAGCGAAACGUGCAACGAAACAAAUGACUCGCCAUUAACGUCUGUCUGAUCCUCCCUGAGCUCGGAAUCUCGUAUUUAUAGCUAAUAUUGCCAUUACUAUGCUUCAGAAUCCGGUCUGGUCCAUCUACGAAGUGCGAUGUGAAAAUUGAAAGUGAAAGUACUAUAAAUUUAAUAUAAAGGUUAAU
ensembl:ncRNA lncRNA:CR45252 long non-coding RNA:CR45252